rnacentral:rRNA from 1 species
CGCUGGCGGCGUGCCUAACACAUGCAAGUCAACUUGACUGAAGGAGCAAUCUGACAGUAGAGCGGCGCAAGGGUGCGUAACGCGUAAGUAACUUGCCCCAAGGUAAGGAAUAACGUCGAGAAAUCGGCGCUAAUACCUCAUAAUGCAGCGGAUCCGCAUGGAUAUGUUGUUAAAGGUUUACCGCCUUGGGAUAGGCUUGCGUCUGAUUAGCUAGUUGGUGUGGUAACGGCACACCAAGGCUACGAUCAGUAACUGGUCUGAGAGGAUGAUCAGUCACACUGGAACUGAGACACGGUCCAGACUCCUACGGGAGGCAGCAGUGAGGAAUAUUGGGCAAUGCUCGAAAGAGUGACCCAGCAACGCCGCGUGGAGGAUGAAGGUAUUCUAUAUCGUAAACUCCUGUGAGAGCAGACGAAAGACAGAUUAUUAAUCUGGAUGACUGUAUGCUCAGAGGAAGCCCCGGCUAACUACGUG